rnacentral:rRNA from 1 species
AUUGAACGCUGGCGGCAUGCCUUACACAUGCAAGUCGAACGGCAGCGGGGACUUCGGUCCGCCGGCGAGUGGCGAACGGGUGAGUAAAGUAUCGGAACGUACCUUUCAGUGGGGGAUAACGUAGCGAAAGUUACGCUAAUACCGCAUAUUCUGUGAGCAGGAAAGCAGGGGAUCGCAAGACCUUGCGCUGAUUGAGCGGCCGAUAUCAGAUUAGCUAGUUGGUGAGGUAAAGGCUCACCAAGGCGACGAUCUGUAGCGGGUCUGAGAGGAUGAUCCGCCACACUGGAACUGAGACACGGUCCAGACUCCUACGGGAGGCAGCAGUGGGGAAUUUUGGACAAUGGGGGCAACCCUGAUCCAGCCAUGCCGCGUGAGUGAAGAAGGCCUUCGGGUUGUAAAGCUCUUUCGGCCGGGAGGAAAUCGCACAGGCUAAUACCCUGUGUGGAUGACAGUACCGGAAUAAGAAGCACCGGCUAACUACGUGCCAGCCGCCGCAGUAAGAC